rnacentral:sRNA from 1 species
UAGCAUAUAAUGGUGUAACAUUUAUCUA